AACACACAAUACCUAGAAUUUGGAGAAUGCUGCAAGACAGCUUUGAGGGCAGCUACCACUUCUUUUUUGCCUGUGAAAAUUGGAGGGAAAGAACUUUGAAUUGGAAGAAAGAAGAACACCAAAAGAGAAAGAGAGUGAAAGGAAUUCCAUCCUAGUGGGAAUGAUUUAAUGUGUUGUAUUCUUUAGGGAUAAGAGUGUAGAAAUCCAGAAAGCACAGUUCUGGCCAGACUUACAUAGGUGGAGCAGUAGAAUUGUCGACUACUAUUAAAAAUGAAUUGAUGGUCCUUUCAUUGUAUGCCAAGGAUUCUUAAACAGUGUGACAAAAUUAGGCAAGAACGAGAUGAAGCCGUUAAAAAACUGGAAGAAUUUCAGAAAAUUUCUCACAUGGUCAUAGAGGAAGUUAAUUUCAUGCAGAACCAUCUUGAAAUAGAGAAGACUUGUCGAGAAAGUGCUGAAGCUUUGGCAACAAAGCUAAAUAAAGAAAAUAAAACGUUGAAAAGAAUCAGCAUGUUGUACAUGGCCAAGCUGGGACCAGAUGUAAUAACUGAAGAGAUAAACAUUGAUGAUGAAGAUUCGACUACAGACACAGACGGUGCCGCCGAGACUUGUGUCUCAGUACAGUGUCAGAAGCAAAUUAAAGAACUUCGAGAUCAAAUUGUAUCUGUUCAGGAGGAAAAGAAGAUUUUAGCCAUUGAGCUGGAAAAUCUCAAGAGCAAACUCGUAGAAGUAAUUGAAGAAGUAAAUAAAGUUAAACAAGAAAAGACUGUUUUAAAUUCAGAAGUUCUUGAACAGAGAAAAGUCUUAGAAAAAUGCAAUAGAGUGUCCAUGUUAGCUGUAGAAGAGUAUGAGGAGAUGCAAGUAAACCUGGAGCUGGAGAAGGACCUUCGAAAGAAAGCAGAGUCAUUUGCACAAGAGAUGUUCAUUGAGCAAAACAAGCUAAAGAGACAAAGCCACCUUCUGCUGCAGAGCUCCAUCCCUGAUCAGCAGCUUUUGAAAGCUUUAGAUGAAAAUGCAAAACUCACCCAGCAACUUGAAGAAGAGAGAAUUCAGCAUCAACAAAAGGUCAAAGAAUUAGAAGAGCAACUAGAAAAUGAAACACUCCACAAAGAAAUACACAACCUCAAACAGCAACUGGAGCUUCUAGAAGAAGAUAAAAAGGAGUUGGAAUUGAAAUAUCAGAAUUCUGAAGAGAAAGCCAGAAAUUUAAAGCACUCUGUUGAUGAACUCCAGAAACGAGUGAACCAGUCUGAGAAUUCAGUACCUCCACCACCUCCUCCUCCACCACCACUUCCCCCUCCACCUCCCAAUCCUAUCCGAUCCCUCAUGUCCAUGAUCCGGAAACGAUCCCACCCCAGUGGCAGUGGUGCUAAGAAAGAAAAGGCAACUCAACCAGAAACAACUGAAGAAGUCACAGAUCUAAAGAGGCAAGCAGUUGAAGAGAUGAUGGAUAGAAUUAAAAAGGGAGUUCAUCUUAGACCCGUUAAUCAGACAGCCAGACCGAAGACAAAGCCAGAAUCUUCGAAAGGCUGCGAAAGUGCAGUGGAUGAACUAAAAGGAAUACUGGGGACACUUAACAAAUCCACUAGUUCAAGAAGCUUAAAAUCCCUUGACCCUGAAAACAGUGAAACUGAGUUAGAAAGGAUUUUGCGUCGCAGAAAGGUGACAGCAGAAGCAGAUAGCAGUAGUCCAACUGGGAUAUUAGCCACCUCAGAGUCCAAAUCCAUGCCAGUGUUGGGUUCUGUAUCCAGUGUAACAAAAACAGCCUUGAACAAGAAAACUCUGGAGGCAGAAUUCAACAGCCCGUCCCCCCCAACACCUGAACCAGGUGAAGGGCCCCGUAAAUUGGAAGGAUGCACAAGUUCCAAGGUUACGUUUCAGCCUCCCAGUAGCAUUGGAUGCAGGAAAAAAUACAUUGACGGUGAAAAACAAGCCGAACCAGUUGUAGUUUUAGAUCCUGUUUCUACACAUGAACCCCAAACCAAAGACCAGGUUGCUGAAAAAGAUCCAACUCAACACAAGGAGGAUGAAGGCGAAAUUCAACCAGAAAACAAAGAAGACAGCAUUGCAAACGUGAGAGAGACAGACAGCUCCAACUGCUGAUCCGUAAACCAGAAGCCUGACAUGUUUGGAAGUCCUUUUCAAUAAGCACAUGAUUAGUGUUGUUAUAUUGGCAAGGGCUGUAGACAUUCUGCUCUGGUCACUGUAUUCAGAAUACAGGUUCUUUUCUGGUGUCACUUUUGUAAGUAGCAACUAUAAACAUAAGUAAGCUGUUUAGCAAAACACACAUUCCUAGUAGGUUUUGGUUUUUUGAUCUUUAUAAAGAUGAGUUUUUUUCCUAGUUACUGUAUUAAGUAUGACUUCUUUUAGAAGGUUACAAAAAAAUUCAGAUGUUGAUACCUUUUUAGGAAAUGUGCAUACCACUCAUCAAAUGGAAUGCUGAAAGUUUGAGGUGCUUGUAUAUAAUCGGAUAAACAAAACUGAUCAACCUAAUGUGAUUUUAAAAGCCCCCAAAGAAGCUUCUGUUUUGGGUCUGAUCCUCUUGAUGGAGAAACUGCAGCAGCGUGGAAAUUGUUGGGUACUGUGGCAUACAAGUUAUUUUCUACAGUAGACUGAGAUAAACUGAAAACUCAGGAGCUGGCAUCAAACUCGUAGUCCCAUAGUCAGUGUUAAUUACACACAUUGUUAACUAUUGGAUGAAAAAUACAUGCUAUUGAUUGUGUCCAAAGCCUCCCGAGGACCUCCGUGGGGAUGCUCUGGUAGCCUGAAUACAGAACUGAGGUGAAAGUCCAAACCUUGAAUUUUACAGUAAUAAGUUGGUAAACCAUGUGCUCUGUGCUAUGAGUUAAUUAUGUUUUCCCAAGUACUAAUGUGGCACAAGUACCAUAUUUUAUCAGAGUUCUUAUGUACAGUACAGUGAAGAUAAGUGACAAGCACACAUUUUUCUUGCUUCACUGCUGUUCUAUAUUACACAGGUUUGUUGUUGUUUUUUUAAAAAAGAAAUUAAGCAGUAGUUAGUCUCUAAAAAUACAAUGUUUCAGGCUACCACAGUGAAUAAAUAGAAAUGUAAUCAGGGAUUAAAAAAAAAACUUAUGCAGCUUUUCAAAGUUGAUUGUUUCAAAAUUGGUGUUUAUUUAAAAUAAGUGGUAAUGUACUUGAAUGCACUUUUUAUGACAAUGAUUCAGUAAUGGUAAUUUUACUAUUAAAGAAAGUGAAAGGUUUAGUUUUGUUAGCAUGGCUCAGCAUGUAGCUGUCAGGUGUUUUUCACCUAAGGGCAAAAGAAAAUGAUAGUAAUAAUUGCAGUAGUUGUAUUGUAUUGUAUUUUUGCACGUGUGGUAAGCAUAGGCUUGAAGAGGUGGGUAGGCAGGUACAUGUACUUCCUAAAUUUGGAGAUAAUUAUCUUUCUGUAAGUUCGUUACGCUUGACUGUUUCCAUGUUCUCCCAAUAAUGAUUUUACAGUUACUUAUCACUUUUCUCAUGGGGAAUUAAAAUGUAAUGUUUUUUCAACUGUAUCUUUCCUUAACUGGAUAAUAGUGCUAUAUGAUAUGCUUACUACAGACUGCAUUAAUUCACGAAACGAAUUCUGUUAUGCUGUAAUUUGAACUCUCCUCACCACAACUUAUUAAAAAGGCACCAAUAGUUUCCCAUU
rnacentral:sRNA from 1 species